rnacentral:rRNA from 1 species
UACGUAGGGUGCGAGCGUUAAUCGGAAUUACUGGGCGUAAAGGGUGCGUAGGCGGCUUGUCACGUCGGUUGUGAAAGCCCGGGGCUUAACCCCGGGUCUGCAGUCGAUACGGGCAGGCUAGAGUGUGGUAGGGGAGAUCGGAAUUCCUGGUGUAGCGGUGAAAUGCGCAGAUAUCAGGAGGAACACCGGUGGCGAAGGCGGAUCUCUGGGCCAUUACUGACGCUGAGGAGCGAAAGCGUGGGGAGCGAACAGG